UACGUAGGGUGCAAGCGUUGUCCGGAAUUAUUGGGCGUAAAGAGCUCGUAGGCGGUUUGUCGCGUCUGCUGUGGAAACUCGGGGCUUAACUCCGGGCCUGCAGUGGGUACGGGCAGACUAGAGUGCGGUAGGGGAGACUGGAAUUCCUGGUGUAGCGGUGAAAUGCGCAGAUAUCAGGAGGAACACCGGUGGCGAAGGCGGGUCUCUGGGCCGAGAUUGACGCUGAGGAGCGAAAGCGUGGGGAGCGAACAGGG
rnacentral:rRNA from 1 species